AUUCNGCGGCGGANGGGUGAGUAAUGCCUAGGAAUCUGCCUGGUAGUGGGGGACAACGUUUCGAAAGGAACGCUAAUACCGCAUACGUCCUACGGGAGAAAGCAGGGGACCUUCGGGCCUUGCGCUAUCAGAUGAGCCUAGGUCGGAUUAGCUAGUUGGUGAGGUAAUGGCUCACCAAGGCGACGAUCCGUAACUGGUCUGAGAGGAUGAUCAGUCACACUGGAACUGAGACACGGUCCAGACUCCUACGGGAGGCAGCAGUGGGGAAUAUUGGACAAUGGGCGAAAGCCUGAUCCAGCCAUGCCGCGUGUGUGAAGAAGGUCUUCGGAUUGUAAAGCACUUUAAGUUGGGAGGAAGGGCAUUAACCUAAUACGUUAGUGUUUUGACGUUACCGACAGAAUAAGCACCGGCUAACUCUGUGCCAGCAGCCGCGGUAAUACAGAGGGUGCAAGCGUUAAUCGGAAUUACUGGGCGUAAAGCGCGCGUAGGUGGUUUGUUAAGUUGGAUGUGAAAGCCCCGGGCUCAACCUGGGAACUGCAUUCAAAACUGACAAGCUAGAGUAUGGUAGAGGGUGGUGGAAUUUCCUGUGUAGCGGUGAAAUGCGUAGAUAUAGGAAGGAACACCAGUGGCGAAGGCGACCACCUGGACUGAUACUGACACUGANGUGCGAAAGCGUGGGGAGCAAACAGGAUUAGAUACCCUGGUAGUCCACGCCGUAAACGAUGUCAACU
rnacentral:rRNA from 1 species